rnacentral:rRNA from 1 species
GAGUUUGAAUCUUGCUCAGGAUUAACGCUGGCGGCAAGCUUAACACAUGCAAGUCGAACGACCUUUAGGUAGUGGCGGACGGGUGAGUAAUGUGUAAGAAUCUACAUUGGGGUUGAGGAUAACAAAAUGGAAACGUUUGCUAAUACUCAAUAUUGCUAAUAAGUAAAAGGUUUUCCGCCCUGAUAUGAGCUUUCAUCUGAUUAGUUAGUUGGAGUGGUAAUGGCACACCAAGACUUUGAUCAGUAGUUGAUUUGAGAAAAUGAUCAACCACACUGGAACUGAGAUACGGAACAGACUUCUACGGAAGGCAGCAGUGAGGAAUAUUCCGCAAUGAGUGAAAACUUGACGGAGCUAUGCCGCGUGGAGGACGAAGGCUUUCGAGUUGUAAACUUCUUUUCUCAUUGAAGAAUAAAUGACGGUAUUUGAGGAAUAAGCAUUGUCUAACUUUGUGCCAGCAGACGCGGUAAUACAAGGAAUGCAAGCGUUAUCUGGAAUUAUUGGGCGUAAAGAGUUUGUAGGUUGUUUUGUAAGUCUUAUGUAAAAUUUCAAAGCUCAACUUUGGCUCAGCAUAAGAAACUGCUAAACUUGAGUACGAUAGAGGUAAAGGGAAUUCUUAGUGUAGCGGUGAAAUGCGUAGAUAUUAGGAAGAACACCUGUGGCGAAAGCGCUUUACUAGGUUGAUACUGACACUGAGAAACGAAAGCCAAGGUAAUGAAUCGGAUUAGAUACCCGAGUAGUCUUGGCAGUAAACGAUGAGCGCUAAGUGAUGCUUUUGUAUUGCUGUAGUUAACACAUUAAGCGCUCCGCCUGGGGAGUAUGCUUGCAAAAGUGAAACUCAAAGGAAUUGACGGGGGCUCGCACAAACUGUGGAGCAUGCGGUUUAAUUCGCUGGUACCCGAAAAACCUUACCAGAAUUUGACAUCCUAAAUAAUACUUCGAAGGAAGAUGGACUUUUUAGGUUUAGAGACAGGUGGUGCAUGGCUGUCGUCAGUUCGUGUUGUGAAAUGUUCAGUUAAGUCUGUUAACGAACGUAACCCCUUUUUCUAAUUAUUUUAUAUUUUAUUAGAAAGACUGCCAGUGAUAAAUUGGAGGAAGGCGGGGAUGAGGUCAAGUCAUCAUGCCCUAUAUAUUCUGGGCUACACGCGUGCUACAAUGGGUAAGACAAUAAGUUGCGAAUUCGAGAGAGUUAGCUAAUCUUCUAAACUUAUCCUUAGUUCAGAUGAAAGACUGCAACUCGUCUUUCUGAAGUUGGAAUAGUUAGUAAUCGCAAAUCAGCUAUGUUGCGGUGAAUACGUUCUCGAGCCUUGUACACACCGCCCGUCACACCAUGGAAAUCGGUCAUGCUUGACACUAUUAUCCUAACCUUAAUUGAGAGGGAAAUUUUUAAGGCCGGGUCGGUAACUAGGGUGAAGUCGUAACAAGGUAGCCGUACUGG